rnacentral:ncRNA from 1 species
CCUGGCCAUGUUAAAAUGGUUAGGCCACACGCCUAUUAAUUAUAUCUCAAAGGAGAUAUAAAAUACAACUAUAACAUUAAGUAUUUUAAAGGAAGGUUGAACUUCAAGGAAACGUAGUUGCCUUACGAAGAAAUAUGAAAUAGUGGUGAUUUACUUUCAAUUAAUGGGCUACAUCUU